rnacentral:rRNA from 1 species
UACAGAGGGCUCAAGCGUUGUUCGGAUUCAUUGGGCGUAAAGGGUGCGUAGGCGGCGCGAUAAGUCGGGUGUGAAAUCUCGGAGCUUAACUCCGAAAUUGCAUUCGAUACUGCCGUGCUCGAGGACUGGAGAGGAGACUGGAAUUCAUGGUGUAGCAGUGAAAUGCGUAGAGAUCAUGAGGAAGACCAGUGGCGAAGGCGGGUCUCUGGACAGUUCCUGACACUGAGGCACGAAGGCCAGGGGAGCAAACGGG